GGCUUAAUUUGUUCCUCCAUGUAACAGUAAAAAUACACCAUUUUCAGAAGAAAAUGGAAAUUCUCCUCUGCAAGAAGAAUGGUCCGAGCUAGGAAAUUCUGAUUUAAUUUUACAAACCUUCAUUAAAUUAAUCACCAAGACAGAUGACAAAUUAAAGAUUCAGCCCAUAAGGCUAUGAAUCAGAUUCAACAUCAGUUAAAAACCAUGGCUGCUGUUAUUAUCCUAAAUGAACGAUGAAAAUCAUCACUAGAAGAAAAAAAGCUAUUGGCAACAGUAGUAAUUUAAUUUAAGGAUGCUAAUUAGCUUCCUUAAAUUGCUACAAGUGUCGUCGCCCCACAUUUAGUUACAUUAAUCGGUGCUUUUACUACAAACGUUGCCAACUUGGUGACAUCCAUCUCUUUAGCAUGGUCUUGUUGAUUACAUUCUGCAUUCACAGUGGCCAGGUCUAGUUGCGAGGAGUGCCUCUUCAGCAGUGGAAGAAGUUUCUGAUAAUUAACAAAACACUGCAUAGUGAACAUUGCUUUAGAGAAUCACAGAGCUUCUAGAUUUUAUAAUUUAAGUCAAUGCAUUGCUCUUCUUUUACAUAAUCAACCUCAACCUCAACCAACUUGAUGGAAUAGCUUUGAUGUAUCUUCUGUUAGAAGGGUGAAUUUUAUAGGAAAAUUUUAUUCCAAAGUAUGGAGAGCUGCAUAAUAGAAGUGGGCAUUCCAUUUAUUGCAAAUCCCAUCCUAACUCAAUCCCAGCAGAAUCAGACUAUGAGACUUACUAAUAAAAUUUACUUCUAGAGCAUCCCUUUAGAGAUUUAGCCCUUGAUUUCUCCAAUAAACAUGAACAAGGCCUCCUCGCAAAAUGUAUUGUGAAGCAGAAUUAAGCUCAUAAUAAGACAUUAACAAGGAUUUUGCUAAAUUAAAUUUCUGAAUAUAAGGACCUUAUACAAUACAAAACUUAAUCCUUUGCUGUCUAGGUUUUGUGGUACUGUGGGCAUAUUAGUUUUGAAAGCUUUUCCAUUAAAUCCUUGGGGGGAGGUUGCAUACACAUAGUGGUAUAGUCAAUUAGAACCCUACUUGAGCAUUUCUCUAUUGAUUUGGCAGCAGCAGAAAUGAAACAUAAUAAUGGAAUAAGACAGAAAAUGACUACGGAUUCAUGAAAUAAACAGUGGAGUGAUAUCAAAAUCAAAAUUACAUUAGGAACUCAUCACACUCAUUUAACUUCUUCGAUUUCAUCCAAUGCAUAGUUGUUUGUAGAUACAUUCGCAUAAUUAACUUUGUCGAAUCGAACCACAACUGGGUAGCGUGUUUUGGGGUCCUGAUCAACAGCUACAACAGAUCCUAUGCCAUUGAACCAGUAGGAUUCCCUCCUGAGAAUCUUCACCUUGGUUCCUCUCUUGGGUCCAAUCGGUGGUGGCUUAGGUUUUGGUGCUUCAGCUUCUGCUGGUGCUGUGGUGGUGGCAGGUGUUGCUGCUGCACCCUCCUCAGUUGCCCUCACAAUAAGCUUUGAAUUGUUAUUAUUGUUGUUCUUCGAAGGGAAAAACACCAUGUUACUGCUCCUAGAACCUGAAUUGGCAUUGGCUGCUGCAACAUUAGGAGUUAACAAGAACCCUGAAGCAGCAGAUGCCAUGCUACAACUAGCCAUGUUUCUGCCUCUUUCUCUCACUUCUCUCUGAUGGAAAAUAAAAGUGAUGAGUUUACAAAUGACAGGGAUUGAGAGGUUGAGAUUUGAGAGGCUUUGAAUU
rnacentral:misc_RNA from 1 species